CCUACGGGAGGCAGCAGUGAGGAAUAUUGGUCAAUGGGCUUACGCCUGAACCAGCCAAGUCGCGUGAGGGAAGACUGCCCUAUGGGUUGUAAACCUCUUUUGCCGGGGAGCAACGGGCGUCACGUGUGGCGCCACUGAGAGUACCCGGAGAAAAAGCAUCGGCUAACUCCGUGCCAGCAGCCGCGGUAAUACGGAGGAUGCGAGCGUUAUCCGGAUUUAUUGGGUUUAAAGGGUGCGCAGGCGGUCUGUUAAGUCAGCGGUCAAAGCCCGGGGCUAAACCCCGGCCCGCCGUUGAAACUGGCAGUCUCGAGUUGGAGAGAAGUAUGCGGAAUGCGCGGUGUAGCGGUGAAAUGCAUAGAUAUCGCGCAGAACUCCGAUUGCGAAGGCAGCAUGCCGGCUCCACACUGACGCUGAGGCACGAAAGCGUGGGUAUCGAACAGGAUUAGAUACCCUUGUAGUC
rnacentral:rRNA from 1 species